rnacentral:rRNA from 1 species
AGCAGCCGCGGUAAUUCCAGCUCCAAUAGCGUAUAUUAAAGUUGUUGCAGUUAAAAAGCUCGUAGUUGAAUUUCGGGAUUGGCGUGUCGGUCGUGCCUUACGGGGUAUGAACUGGCAUCGUCGAUUCUCACCUUCUGGAGAAUCACGAUGCCCUUAAUUGGGUGUCGUGUGGAUCCAGGACCUUUACCUUGAAAAAAUUAGAGUGUUUAAAGCAGGCAUUAUUGCUCGAAUACAUUAGCAUGGAAUAAUAAAAUAGGACGGCUUGGUUCUAUUUUGUUGGUUUCUAGGAUCACCGUAAUGAUUAAUAGGGAUAGUUGGGGGCAUUAGUAUUCAAUUGUCAGAGGUGAAAUUCUUGGAUUUAUUGAAGACUAACUACUGCGAAAGCAUUUGCCAAGGAUGUUUUCAUUAAUCAAGAACGAAAGUUAGGGGAUCGAAGACGAUCAGAUACCGUCGUAGUCUUAACCAUAAACUAUGCCGACUAGGAAUCAGACGAUGUUAAUUUUUUAAUGACUCGUUUGGC